UGCCAGCAGCCGCGGUAAUACGUAGCGUGAAAGCGUUGUUCGGAAUUAUUGGGCGUAAAGCGUGCGUCGGCGGACCGUUAAGUCUGAUGUGAAAUCCCACGGCUCAACCGUGGACGUGCAUUGGAUACUGGCGGUCUUGAGUCCCGGAGAGGAGAGCGGAAUUCCUAGUGUAGAGGUGAAAUUCGUAGAUAUUAGGAGGAACACCAGUGGCGAAAGCGGCUCUCUGGACGGUGACUGACGCUUAGGCACGAAAGCAUAGGUAGCAAACAGGAUUAGAUA
rnacentral:rRNA from 1 species